rnacentral:misc_RNA from 1 species
UUGGUUGUUACCAGGCAAGUAACUUUUGAGUGUCAUACACUGGUAUGAUUAUCAUUUUCAUGCUGUAUCUUUUUGUUAGCAAUAUGAUGCAAGAUUUUCUAAGGUUGGAUUAAGUAAUUGCUCAAUUGCUUUAUAGUUUGUACAAGAGUAAUUUCUUCUGUUUUAUCAUCUUUGUGUGGUCUAUUUUCCCCAGAACCAAUGGUGGUUCACGAUGGGGUUUACAUGAAUUUUAAAAUUAUGAACACUUGUUGAUUUUCAGUGCAGGAUGGUUCUUGUAUUCUUGACUAAGUUUCCAAGAAUGGCUUAGUUUAUGACCAUCUCCUUUUUAAAUCAAUUAGUGAAGUUGGUUUUUUUAUUUUGUUCUCUCUUUUCCCUGCCCAUUGUGAGGGGGUGCUUCCAAUUUGUACCUGUUCUACUACCAGAAUCAAUAAAGCUUUUGUCAACUAUGUUGCUGUGAAGAGAUUGUCUCUGAUUUCGUACUGUGGGCAUUUUUUGCAGUCCUUGGAGCUAUGGAACAUG